UACGGAGGGUGCAAGCGUUGCUCGGAAUUACUGGGCGUAAAGGGCGUGUAGGCGGUCUCGUAUGUCUGUCGUGAAAGCCCCGGGCUCACCCCGGGAAGUGCGUUGGAAACUGCGAGACUAGAGUCCCGGAGAGGAAGGUGGAAUUCCAGGUGUAGCGGUGAAAUGCGUAGAUAUCUGGAAGAACACCGGUGGCGAAGGCGGCCUUCUGGACGGUGACUGACGCUGAGACGCGAAAGCCAGGGGAGCAAACGGG
rnacentral:rRNA from 1 species